AGGAGGUGCGGAGAGAGGUUGCGUGAUUUGGUAAGAAGGUGAAUAGAGUGAGGACGAUGAAGGAUAUCGGAAGGCCACGAGGAGACGCCAUUGGAGAGAUUGAGAGAGAGAGAGAGAUUCUUUCGUUCAAAGAAAAAAAAAAGAGAUUCUCCAAAAUGGAGGUUUAGGUUCAAACCUCAGAAGACGCAAAUUAUGUAGAUCAUGAAGAAAAGAGUUACAAGAGGUCUUCAGCAUGGUGCAAGAACGUAUUAUCGAACAUGGAUCUCAUAGAGCGGCUCGGAACGAUGGAAUCAGACGUGCAUUCUCAUAUGAUGGUAGAAUUGUCGGCUUUAGAAUUGUCUAUGUAAUAUUUGUUGUAAUAGCAUAAUUAAUCAGACGUUAAUUCUUUUUUUCAGUUAGUACUCUCUUUUCUUGAAAUCGUUUCAUUAGCUUAAUGACUAUAUAUAUAAUAUAGUUUUGAUUUAGAA